GGUGGCUCAGUGGUAGAGCACUUGCCUCACACACAUGAGGCCCUGGGUUCAAUUUCUCAGCACCA
rnacentral:tRNA from 1 species